rnacentral:rRNA from 1 species
UACGGAGGGUGCAAGCGUUAAUCGGAAUUACUGGGCGUAAAGCGCGCGUAGGCGGUUUGAUAAGUUGGUUGUGAAAGCCCCGGGCUUAACCUGGGAGGGUCAAUCAAGACUGUCAGACUAGAAUAUAGUAGAGGAGUGUGGAAUUUCCGGUGUAGCGGUGAAAUGCGUAGAGAUCGGAAGGAACACCAGUGGCGAAGGCGGCACUCUGGACUAAUAUUGACGCUGAGGUGCGAAAGCGUGGGGAGCAAACAGG